rnacentral:rRNA from 1 species
UACGUAGGGUGCGAGCGUUAAUCGGAAUUACUGGGCGUAAAGCGUGCGCAGGCGGUUCCGCAAGUCAGAUGUGAAAUCCCCGGGCUCAACCCUGGGAACUGCAUUUGAAACUACGGGGCUAGAGUGUGUCAGAGGGGGGGUGGAAUUCCACGUGUAGCAGUGAAAUGCGUAGAGAUGUGGAGGAACACCAAUGGCGAAGGCAGCCCCCUGGGAUGACACUGACGCUCAUGCACGAAAGCGUGGGGAGCAAACAGG